AGUGAACGCUGGCGGUAGGCCUAACACAUGCCAGUCGAACGGCAGCACAGUAAGAGCUUGCUCUUACGGGUGGCGAGUGGCGGACGGGUGAGGAAUACAUCGGAAUCUACUUUUUCGUGGGGGAUAACGUAGGGAAACUUACGCUAAUACCGCAUACGACCUACGGGUGAAAGCAGGGGAUCUUCGGACCUUGCGCGAUUGAAUGAGCCGAUGUCGGAUUAGCUAGUUGGCGGGGUAAAGGCCCACCAAGGCGACGAUCCGUAGCUGGUCUGAGAGGAUGAUAAGCCACACUGGAAGUGAGACACGGUCCAGACUCCGACGGGAGGCAGCAGUGGGGAAUAUUGGACGAUGGGCGCAAGCCUGAUCCAGCCAUACCGCGUGGGUGAAGAAGGCCUUCGGGUUGUAAAGCCCUUUUGUUGGGAAAGAAAAGCAGCAGGUUAAUACCCCGCUGUUCUGACGGUACCCAAAGAAUAAGCACCGGCUAACUUCGUG
rnacentral:rRNA from 1 species